UUUUAUCCGACUCUGCUCGUGAUGCAGGGCGUCCAUGAAUCUAUAAUGCAUGUUUUUUGGUAUCUUUGUGCGUGCUGCGAAUGGAUCUGGGAACAUGGCUUUUCUGAUGGUGCAAGUUAAGGCUACCCGGGCAGUGUCUUCUCACGAACAGUUCUGAGUGAGAAAUACUUUUUACUCCAGCAUCAGGUUUAGUUGUUAUAUUUUUUCAUUGCAUUGUAAUGUAGGGAUCAAAUUAUAGCUGCAUCUUGGGCAGUGAACUCAUGUAUCAGCUGUUAAGACAGUGAACUACUAUGACCAAAACAAAUUGUAUUAUAAGCUUCUAUAGAGCAAUGAAUUAUCUAGCUCUGUUUGAACCCUGCUGUACCUACCAUCACCAUGUUGGUGGAGAGGCAUGUUCCUGAACUGUACCGGAGAAUACGAUCUCUGGAAAUCUAAGAUGUUUUUCGUACGCCUUUAUCCCAUCGUAAUCAGGAAAUGAUGAAAUCUUCUGCGUGCCUCUCAUGGCAGAAUUCUCUGAUGGUGCAAGUUAAGGCUACCCGGGCAGUGUCUUCUCACGAACAGUUCUGAGUGAGAAAUACUUUUUUACUCCAGCAUCAGGUUUAGUUGUUAUAUUUUUUCAUUGCAUUGUAAUGUAGGGAUCAAAUUAUAGCUGCAUCUUGGGCAGUGAACUCAUGUAUCAGCUGUUAAGACAGUGAACUACUAUGACCAAAACAAAUUGUAUUAUAAGCUUCUAUAGAGCAAUGAAUUAUCUACCUUGAAGCCUUUUUUAAUCUGA
rnacentral:lncRNA from 1 species